rnacentral:tRNA from 1 species
GGGACGUAGCUCAGCUGGGAGAGCACCAGGUUCGCAAUCUGGGGAUCGAGGGUUCAAACCCCUUCGUCUCC